rnacentral:rRNA from 1 species
GACGAACGCUGGCGGCGUGCCUAACACAUGCAAGUGGAGCGACGAACCAGGGCUUGCCCUGGGGCAAAGCCGCGAACGGGUGAGUAACACGUGGGUAACCUGCCCCGAUGACCGGGACAACCCGAGGAAACUCGGGCUAAUACCGGAUGUGCCCCUCACACAUCAGUGUGUGGAGUAAAAGAAGCUUCGGCCUCCGCAUCGGGAUGGGCCCGCGGCCCAUUAGCUUGUUGGUGAGGUAAAGGCUCACCAAGGCAACGAUGGGUAGCUGGUCUGAGAGGACGAUCAGCCACACUGGGACUGAGACACGGCCCAGACUCCUACGGGAGGCAGCAGUGGGGAAUCUUGCGCAAUGCGCGAAAGCGUGACGCAGCAACGCCGCGUGAGGGAAGAAGGCCUUCGGGUUGUAAACCUCUUUCAGGAGGGACGAAGGUUCAGGCGCGAAUAGCGUCCUGAACUGACGGUACCUCCAGAAGAAGCCCCGGCUAACUACGUGCCAGCAGCCGCCGUAA